GAUGAACGCUGGCGGCGUGCCUAAUACAUGCAAGUCGAGCGAACAGAUGAGGAACUUGCUCCUCUGACGUUAGCGGCGGACGGGUGAGUAACACGUGGAUAACCUACCUAUAAGACUGGGAUAACUUCGGGAAACCGGAGCUAAUACCGGAUAAUAUAUUUAACCGCAUGGUUCAAUAGUGAAAGACGGUUUUGCUGUCACUUAUAGAUGGAUUCGCGCCGCAUUAGCUAGUUGGUAAGGUAACGGCUUACCAAGGGAACGAUGGUUAGCCGACCUGGGAGGGUGAUCGGCCAAACUGGAACGGAGACACGGUCCAGACUCCUACGGGAGGCAGCAGUAGGGAAUCUUCCGCAAUGGGCGAAAGCUUGACGGAGCAACGCCGCGUGAGUGAUGAAGGUCUUCGGAUCGUAAAACUCUGUUAUUAGGGAAGAACAAAUGUGUAAGUAACUAUGCACGUCUUGACGGUACCUAAUCAGAAAGCCACGGCUAACUACGUG
rnacentral:rRNA from 1 species